GACGUAGGGCGCGAGCGUUGUCCGGAUUUAUUGGGCGUAAAGAGCUCGUAGGCGGCUUGUUGCGUCGACUGUGAAAACCCGCGGCUUAACCGCGGGCUUGCAGUUGAUACGGGCAGGCUAGAGUUCGGUAGGGGAGACUGGAAUUCCUGGUGUAGCGGUGAAAUGCGCAGAUAUCAGGAGGAACACCGGUGGCGAAGGCGGGUCUCUGGGCCGAAAUUGACGCUGAGGAGCGAAAGCGUGGGGAGCAAACAGG
rnacentral:rRNA from 1 species